rnacentral:rRNA from 1 species
CCGCACACCACCAACCUGAACGCACCCAAUCUUGUCUGAGCAGGGUCGGGCCUGGCUAAUACUUGGAUGGGGACCUCCUGGGAAUACCGGGUGCUGCUUGGU